rnacentral:lncRNA from 1 species
AACAUUAUCAACCUAUACAACUAAACACAACAUUAUCAACCUGCUACAACAUUAUCAACCUAUACAACUAAACACAACAUUACCAACCUGCUAAAACUCAACACAACAUUACCAACCUGCUACAACUAAAUACAACAUUAUCAACCUGCUACAACAUUAUCAACCUGUACAACUAAACACAACAUUAUCGACCUGCUACAACUAAACACAACAUUAUCGACCUGCUACAACUAAACACAACAUUACAACCUGCUACAACUAAACACAACAUUAUCGACCUGCUACAACUAAACACAACAUUAUCGACCUGCUACACAGAGAGGAACCAAGCAUAAAUGUCUUUUUCCAUUGAUUGAAAAUAGCUGUCACUGCAGGGGGAUGUUUGUAGCCAUCUUUUCAUUUUAUUUUCUCCUUCAUGUGGGAACAUCUAUAAUAUUAGACCCAUCUCUUUAUUCUCUUGAAUGACCUGUACAGACCAGGGUCUGUACCGACCCCGAGCUGGACUGAGGAGGUUUUAUACAGACCAGGGUCUGUACCGACCCCGAGCUGGACUGAGGAGGUUUUAUACAGACCAGGGUCUGUGAUCAACCAAGAUGGACUGAGGAGGUUUUAUACAGACCAGGAUCUGUACCGACCCAGAACUGAACUGAGGAGGUUUUAUACAGACCAGGGUCUGUACCGACCCAGAGCUGGACUGAGGAGGUUUUAUACAGACCAGGGUCUGUGAUCAACCAAGAUGGACUGAGGAGGUUUUAUACAGAUCAGGGUCUGUAUCGACCCCGAGCUGGACUGAGGAGGUUUUAUACAGACCAGGGUCUGGACUGAGAAGGUUUUAUACAGACCAGGGUCUGUACCGACCCAGAACUGGACUGAGGAGGUUUUAUACAGACCAGGGUCUGGACUGAGGAGGUUUUAUACAGACCAGGGUCUGUACCGACCCAGAACUGGACUGAGGAGGUUUUAUACAGACCAGGGUCUGUACCGACCCCGAGCUGCACUGAGGAGGUUUUAUACAGAACAGGGUCUGUACCGACCCCGAGCUGGACUGAGGAGGUUUUAUACAGACCAGGGUCUGUACCGAGCUGGACUGAGGAGGUUUUAUACAGACCAGGGUCUGUAUCAACCCCGAGCUGGACUGAGGAGGUUUUAUACAGACCAGGGUCUGUACCGACCCCGAGCUGGACUGAGGAGGUUUUAUACAGACCAGGGUCUGUAUCGACCCAGAGCUGGACUGAGGGGUUUUAUACAGACCAGGAGCUGGACUGAGGAGGUUUUAUACAGACCAGGGUCUGUACCGACCCAGAACUGGACUGAGGAGGUUUUAUACAGACCAGGGUCUGUACCGACCCAGAGCUGGACUGAGGAGGUUUUAUAUAGACCAGGGUCUGUGAUCAACCAAGAUGGACUGAGGAGGUUUUAUACAGACCAGGAUCUGUACCGACCCAGAACUGGACUGAGGAGGUUUUAUACAGACCAGGGUCUGUAUCGACCCAGAGCUGGACUGAGGAGGUUUUAUACAGACCAGGGUCUGUAUCGACCCAGAGCUGGACUGAGGAGGUUUUAUACAGACCAGGAUCUGUACCGAGCUGGACUGAGGAGGUUUUAUACAGACCAGGGUCUGUAUCGACCCAGAGCUGGACUGAGGGGUUUUAUACAGACCAGGGUCUGUACCGAGCUGGACUGAGGAGGUUUUAUACAGACCAGGGUCUGUACCGACCCAGAGCUGGACUGAGGAGGUUUUAUACAGACCAGGGUCUGUACCGAGCUGGACUGAGGAGGUUUUAUACAGACCAGGGUCUGUAUCAACCCCGAGCUGGACUGAGGAGGUUUUAUACAGACCAGGGUCUGUAUCGACCCCGAGCUGGACUGAGGAGGUUUUAUACAGACCAGGGUCUGUACCGAGCUGGACUGAGGGGUUUUAUACAGACCAGGGUCUGUACCGACCCAGAGCUGGACUGAGGAGGUUUUAUACCUGGUCUGUGUUCAACCAAGAUGGAAGAGGAACGACUCAAACAUCCGAAUCUUAGUGCCAAGGUUACCGUGGAAACAGAGGAGGGGAACUGAUUUGUCUAAGUAACUAAUAUUAAAACAUUAAAAAAAUAAGUGUUAUGUAAAGUUGUUAUUGUCUAUUUGUUGGAGCGUAAACAGAGAAACACCAGAUGGGACGAUGUGCGUUGUUGUCCUGUCAGGAGUGGAUUGAUUGAUUGAUUGAUUGAUUGAUUGAUUGAUUGAUUGAUUGAUUGAUUGAACUCUGGCUCCAAAGGUAAGGUAGGAGCAGAUGGUAGGGCGAGGCCUCUUCCUAUUGGAGGACCAACAGCCUAUUAUCUAUCAGUCCCACUACCACCCAGUACACCAACUACCCUGUAGAACCAUCAGUCCCACUACCACCCAGUACACCGACUACCCUGUAGAACCCAGCCUAGUACCCAUCAGUCCCACUACCACCCAGUACACUGACUACCCUGUAGAACCCAG